CAGCCGCCGCGGUAAUACGUAGGGUGCGAGCGUUAAUCGGAUUUACUGGGCGUAAAGCGUGCGCAGGCGGCCCGUUAAGACAGGUGUGAAAUCCCUGGGCUCAACCUAGGAAUUGCGCUUGUGACUGGCGGGCUCGAGUACGGUAGAGGGGGGUGGAAUUCCUGGUGUAGCAGUGAAAUGCGUAGAGAUCAGGAGGAACACCGAUGGCGAGGGCAGCCCCCUGGGCCUGUACUGACGCUCAUGCACGAAAGCGUGGGGAGCAAACAGGAUUAGAUACCCUGGUAGUCCACGCCCUAAACGAUGGGUACUAGCCGUUUGGUGCGCGAUAGCGCUGAGUGGCGAAGCUAACGCGUGAAGUACCCCGCCUGGGGAGUACGGCCGCAAGGUUGAAACUUAAAGGAAUUGGCGGG
rnacentral:rRNA from 1 species